rnacentral:ncRNA from 1 species
UAUGUGCAGGCACGAGUAGGGGGGGUUUAUCGUUGGGUUUUUUUGUUUUGUGCAAUUUAAAUUUUUAUGUUUUUAAAUUGUUUAUAACAGUCAACUCAAAGCUGGUUCAGAUAAUGGGAAUCUGACUAUUUAAUUAAAACAAAGAAUUUUGAUGGUCCAUGUGGAUGCUGACACAAUGUGAUUUCUGCCCAAUGCUCUAAAUGUUAAAGUGCAUAAAUUCAACCAAGCACGGGUAAACAAUGGGAGUAAUUAUGACUCUCUUAAGGUAGCCAAAUUCCUUUUCAUCUAAUUAGUGAUGCACAUGAAUGGAUUAACUAGAUUGAAAUUAUCCCUAUCUACUAUAUAGCAAAACCACAACCAAGGGAAUGGGCUUGG